CAAAUCCCCACUCCCUAAAUAUUACAAAAAAAUUGACCCUAGUGGCCAUGUUGUCAUUUGGUGCUUUUGAAAAAAAAAAAGAUUCCCACUCCAUUAAAGCUAUCCCUUCAUCCGAUGAUUAGUCAACUUGAACCUCCAAGGGUGUUGUCAAGCACAACACUACACUGUGUUGGGAUAUGCUCUCCAGCUUGCUCCUCUAUUAUCUCCAUGUUAUGUCCUGCAUCUGCCACAUGAACUGGAUCUGAGCUGCCAACUUGAGGAUUUUCAACAACAGAACAUGAAGUGCUUGCACCUCCAUUCUCAUCAAUCAGUGCAUCUAUGUAUUUUCUUUUAAUGCAGGUAUCAUCAACAGAUAUGGGAAUUUCAGGUGAAGGAAAUACCUGUUUUCCAGUAUUCUGAGGGACAUGAACACUAGCAGUAAUUGGUUCCCUUAUCACAACACCAGGAAGAGAAGUUUCAUUUUGGGUUUCCUUGGGAUGUUGGUUGCUCUGUUCCAUCAACAACUUCAAAAUCCAGGACUUCAUCAACUGGAGUUGCAGUUGCUACAGUGACCUGUUGUGUAUCAGCCUCCAUAUAUUGAUCCAGUGCUGCAUCAAACUGUGCAUCAAUCUCUACUUCAUUUAUGUCUUCUUCAACUGGGUUCUUGCAGCCUUUCCUAUUGUGUCUAUACUGGUUGCACCUGCUACACCUCACAAAAGCACCUCCUCUCUUCAAUUUGUUUGGAUUAGGGUCAUCAUAUGGGUCCCUCCUUCUCAAUUUUUUGGGCCUCCCUGCACCUCUUUUAAACAGUGGUGGCAGAAUGCACUCAGGGUCAUUUGGUGUCACAACCCAUUGGUUAGGGCCAGAUGAAGAUGAAGAAUUUGAUGAAGGGAGAAAGGAAAGAAAGAAGAUAUUACAGAGGAAGAAGACAAAAAAAACUUGCAAAAUGCUCAAGGGGUAUAUUUGUAAUCCCAUAUCAAAAAUUUUGGGGGACACCGUGUCCCCAUUUUUAUGGGUGAUACCAUAGCCUUCACCAAAGUUUUGAUAUAUCGUAUUAAACAUGAUAAUAUAUGCUUAUACAAUACAAUAGAUUAUGAGUAUAUCAAUUUUUUAAUGUUAACAUUGUAGUGUAUAGGGUUAUCCACGUCAUUGCCGCCACAUAACCACCAUCACUACUACCCUUCGCCACCAUUGUUGCCACCAUCAUCCUUCACCACCAGCAUUGUCGCCAUUAUCACCCUACAAUACUCCAAUACAUUUUUUUAGCAAUGUUGGGUAAUUGUUAAAUUGUCUAAUUGUUUUUACCGGUUUGUAAUUGGGUUGGAGCACCCCUUGUGCUCCCCAUUAAUUCAUUCUGGCUUUUCAAAAAAAAAAAAACCACUAUCGCCACCACCCACCACCACUAUUGCCACUGCUGCCACAACUAUCACCUCC